rfam:Firmicutes bacterium CAG:424 genomic scaffold, scf97
GGAAUUCUUCGGGGCGGGGUGUAAUUCCCCACCGGCGGUAUAGUCCGCGAGCGCAAAAGCGUUGAUUUGGUGCAAUUCCAAAACCGACAGUAAAGUCUGGAUGAGAGAAGAAAAAG